rnacentral:rRNA from 1 species
UCCGAAUAGGCGUUUGAAGUACGCCUCAAGACCCGAAGCGGAGUGAUCUA